ACUCCUACGGGAGGCAGCAGUGAGGAAUAUUGGUCAAUGGGCGCAAGCCUGAACCAGCCAUGCCGCGUGCAGGAAGAAUGCCCUAUGGGUUGUAAACUGCUUUUAUUUAGGAAUAAACCCCUUUACGUGUAGAGGGCUGAAGGUACUAAAUGAAUAAGCACCGGCUAACUCCGUGCCAGCAGCCGCGGUAAUAC
rnacentral:rRNA from 1 species